rnacentral:rRNA from 1 species
AACGCGUGAAGGCCGAGCACUCUAGACGAACUGCCGUUGACAAAACGGAGGAAGGUGGGGAUGACGUCAAAUCAUCAUGCCCCUUAUGUUCUGGGCUACACACGUGCUACAAUGGCCGGUACAGACGGACGCAAAGCCGCGAGGUGGAGCAAAUCCUAAAAAGCCGGUCUCAGUUCGGAUUGCAGGCUGCAAUUCGCCUGCAUGAAGUCGGAAUCGCUAGUAAUCGCAGGUCAGCAUACUGCGGUCGAAUACGUUCCCGGGCCUU